CAUAAAGAACGAGUAAAGUUAAAGAACAAUGGUUGCUAGAGUUAGCAAAACAAAGUAAGGUGACACUAGAGUUAGCGUGUGGCAUCAAGAGAAAUGUGACGCAAGAACAAUGAUAGUGAUUAGAGAUAAGAAAAAAAAUGAAAGUCGCAUAAAGAACGAGUAAAGUAAAGAACAAUGAUUGCUAGAGUUAGCAAAAUAAAGU
rnacentral:lncRNA from 1 species